rnacentral:rRNA from 1 species
AUACGUAGGGGGCGAGCGUUGUCCGGAAUGACUGGGCGUAAAGGGCGUGUAGGCGGCUGUCUAAGUCUGGAGUGAAAGUCCUGCUUUCAAGGUGGGAAUUGCUUUGGAGACUGGAUGGCUUGAGUGCGGAAGAGGUAAGUGGAAUUCCCAGUGUAGCGGUGAAAUGCGUAGAGAUUGGGAGGAACACCAGUGGCGAAGGCGACUUACUGGGCCGUAACUGACGCUGAGGCGCGAAAGCGUGGGGAGCGAACAGGAUUAGAUACCCUGGUAGUCCACGCCAUAAACGAUGAAUACUAGGUGUAGGGGGUAUCGACCCCCUCUGUGCCGACGUUAACACAUUAAGUAUUCCACCUGGGGAGUACGGCCGCAAGGCUGAAACUUAAAGGAAUUGACGGGG